GAUGAACGCUGGCGGCGAGCCUAAUACAUGCAAGUCGAGCGAACAGAUGAGGAGCUUGCUCCUCUGACGUUAGCGGCGGACGGGUGAGUAACACGUGGAUAACCUACCUAUAAGACUGGGAUAACUUCGGGAAACCGGAGCUAAUACCGGAUAAUAUAUUGAACCGCAUGGUUCAAUAGUGAAAGACGGUUUUGCUGUCACUUAUAGAUGGAUCCGCGCCGAAUUAGCUAGUUGGUAAGGUAACGGCUUACCAAGGCAACGAUGCGUAGCCGACCUGAGAGGGUGAUCGGCCACACUGGAACUGAGAAACGGUCCAGACUCCUACGGGAGGCAGCAGUAGGGAAUCUUCCGCAAUGGGCGAAAGCCUGACGGAGCAACGCCGCGUGAGUGAUGAAGGUCUUCGGAUCGUAAAACUCUGUUAUUAGGGAAGAACAAAUGUGUAAGUAACUAUGCACGUCUUGACGGUACCUAAUCAGAAAGCCACGGCUAACUACGUG
rnacentral:rRNA from 1 species